rnacentral:rRNA from 1 species
UCCUGGUGGCGAGUGGCGAACGGGUGAGUAAUACAUCGGAACGUGUCCUGUAGUGGGGGAUAGCCCGGCGAAAGCCGGAUUAAUACCGCAUACGCUCUACGGAGGAAAGGGGGGGAUCUUAGGACCUCUCGCUACAGGGGCGGCCGAUGGCAGAUUAGCUAGUUGGUGGGGUAAAGGCCUACCAAGGCGACGAUCUGUAGCUGGUCUGAGAGGACGACCAGCCACACUGGGACUGAGACACGGCCCAGACUCCUACGGGAGGCAGCAGUGGGGAAUUUUGGACAAUGGGGGCAACCCUGAUCCAGCAAUGCCGCGUGUGUGAAGAAGGCCUUCGGGUUGUAAAGCACUUUUGUCCGGAAAGAAAUCUUCUGCCCUAAUACGGCGGGAGGAUGACGGUACCGGAAGAAUAAGCACCGGCUAACUACGUGCCAGCAGCCGCGGUAAUACGUAGGGUGCAAGCGUUAAUCGGAAUUACUGGGCGUAAAGCGUGCGCAGGCGGUCCGCUAAGACAGAUGUGAAAUCCCCGGGCUUAACCUGGGAACUGCAUUUGUGACUGGCGGGCUAGAGUAUGGCAGAGGGGGGUAGAAUUCCACGUGUAGCAGUGAAAUGCGUAGAGAUGUGGAGGAAUACCGAUGGCGAAGGCAGCCCCCUGGGCCAAUACUGACGCUCAUGCACGAAAGCGUGGGGAGCAAACAGGAUUAGAUACCCUGGUAGUCCACGCCCUAAACGAUGUCAACUAGUUGUCGGGUCUUCAUUGACUUGGUAACGAAGCUAACGCGUGAAGUUGACCGCCUGGGGAGUACGGUCGCAAGAUUAAAACUCAAAGGAAUUGACGGGGACCCGCACAAGCGGUGGAUGAUGUGGAUUAAUUCGAUGCAACGCGAAAAACCUUACCUACCCUUGACAUGGCCGGAACCCUGCUGAAAGGUGGGGGUGCUCGAAAGAGAACCGGUACACAGGUGCUGCAUGGCUGUCGUCAGCUCNUGUCGUGAGAUGUUGGGUUAAGUCNCGCAACGAGCGCAACCCUUGUCCCUAGUUGCUACGCAAGANCACUCUAGGGANACUGCCGGUGACAAACCGGAGNAAGGUGGGGAUGACGUCAAGUCCUCAUGGCCCUUAUGGGU